rnacentral:misc_RNA from 1 species
GAUGAAGAACGCAGCGAAAUGCGAUAAGUAGUGUGAAUUGCAGAAUUCAGUGAAUCAUCGAAUCUUUGAACGCACAUUGCGCCCCUUGGUAUUCCAUGGGGCAUGCCUGUUCGAGCGUCAUUUGUACCUUCAAGCUCUGCUUGGUGUUGGGUGUUUGUCUCGCCUCUGCGUGUAGACUCGCCUCAAAACAAUUGGCAGCCGGCGUAUUGAUUUCGGAGCGCAGUACAUCUCGCGCUUUGCACUCAUAACGACGACGUCCAAAAGUACAUUUUUACACUCUUGACCUCAGAUCAGGUAGGGAUACCCGCUGAACUUAAGCAUAUCAAUAAGCGGAGGA